UGGGAUCAUGGCGGAGAAUCACUGAGAGCU
rnacentral:piRNA from 1 species